rnacentral:rRNA from 1 species
UACGUAGGAGGCGAGCGUUGUCCGGAGUUACUGGGCGUAAAGGGUGCGUAGGCGGCUGCGCGCGUGGAGGGUGAAAUCUCUCGGCUUACCCGGGAGGGGGCUUUCCAGACGGCGUGGCUUGAGGGACGGAGAGGGGUGUGGAAUUCCAGGUGUAGCGGUGAAAUGCGUAGAUAUCUGGAGGAACACCGGUGGCGAAGGCGACAUCCUGGACCGGUAUUGACGCUGAGGCGCGAAAGCCAGGGGAGCAAACGGG